AAACACAAACCACACACGUCCACCGUUUACAAUUGCUGACAUUUCGUUUACAGACGCAGAGAGCUCAAACCACCUCUUCAACCCUCUGCGAGCAAGUUAAGGAGCAUCAUGGCUAAGCGCUAACUAGCAUUAGCUCGAGUGACUAAUCAAAUUCGCGACUAAUGGAUUUCCGAGGACACAAAGGCAAAAGACAAAUGUACAGGUACUCAGCGCCCCAUGAGAGAGGAAGCAGCUCCUCCAGUGUCAUCAUGGUGUAGGAUCCAUCCACCUUGGUCAUGAAGACGGGGAUGUCUCCAAACUAUGAGGAGAGCGAUGAGAUUUUAAAGAUUGAAAAAUAAAUUGCUCUGCUAUAAAACAAAAAUAAGACCGG